rnacentral:rRNA from 1 species
AACGAACGCUGGCGGCAUGCCUAACACAUGCAAGUCGAACGAGACCUUCGGGUCUAGUGGCGCACGGGUGCGUAGCGCGUGGGAACCUGCCCUUAGGUUCGGAAUAACUCCCCGAAAGGGGUGCUAAUACCGGAUAAUGUCUUCGGACCAAAGAUUUAUCGCCUUUGGAUGGGCCCGCGUUGGAUUAGCUAGUUGGUAGGGUAAAAGCCUACCAAGGCGACGAUCCAUAGCUGGUCUGAGAGGAUGAUCAGCCACACUGGGACUGAGACACGGCCCAGACUCCUACGGGAGGCAGCAGUGGGGAAUAUUGGACAAUGGGCGAAAGCCUGAUCCAGCAAUGCCGCGUGAGUGAUGAAGGCCUUAGGGUUGUAAAGCUCUUUUACCCGGGACGAUAAUGACAGUACCGGGAGAAUAAGCUCCGGCUAACUCCGUG